GAGGUGAAAACUAGAACCCAAACAAGGGGGACAGCCUGGGGGCUGGGGACUGUUGCGGAGUGAGAGCAAAUGCAAUAGACUGUUCAAGAGUCGUGUUCCUGCCUGUUUCCUGAGUGUGCUGUUCUCCAGGUUGUUUGUUCAUGUGUGUGAUUUUCCUAUUCUGGCAUCUCCACUACAGAAAUACUCACUGCAAGCCAAUCUGCAUCUUUUGAGAAAUAGAUAUGAUGGGAAAGAAAGGGGUCUAAAGGCAAAACAAAUAUUCCAAACAUAAAUAGUUCCAAGAAUAUACGAUGGACUUGUUGGGAAUUCCAUAUAAUAUCGAUGCUGAUUUCUCCCACCUUUAAUGUGAGAGCAAAUUCACAUUUAGGGUAGGGAUUACAUUUGAGAACAGAUAAAAGUCAUAUAAACCAAAACCACUAAAUGGGUAACUGGGAAAAGUGUGCUCAGGUCCAAUAACAUCACUACUUAGGGCACAGAAAUGGAGGCUGGAAAGAAGACUUGGAGGUUAAGAAUGCUUAUAACUCUUACAGAACCCAAGUUUGAUUCCCAGUACCCACAUUAAGUGGCUCAGACUUUCUGUAACUCUAGCUCUGUGGAAUCCUUUAUUCUUCACGACCACACACAUACACACACAUAAAUAAAAUAAUUAUUUAAAAUAAUAAAGUAUGAAAAAACUGGACACAAUAGUUCAUUAUCUGUAAUUCAAUCACAAA
rnacentral:lncRNA from 1 species